rnacentral:rRNA from 1 species
UACGAAGGGGGCUAGCGUUGCUCGGAAUCACUGGGCGUAAAGCGCACGUAGGCGGAUUGCUAAGUCAGGGGUGAAAUCCUGGAGCUCAACUCCAGAACUGCCUUUGAUACUGGCGAUCUUGAGUCCGGGAGAGGUGAGUGGAACUGCGAGUGUAGAGGUGAAAUUCGUAGAUAUGGGGAGGAACACCGGUGGCGAAGGCGACCAUCUGGACGGAUACUGACGCUGAGACGCGAAAGCGUGGGGAGCAAACAGG